UGGGGAAUAAAAAUAAUAGCAUACAAAUGUGAAAACAUAUAAAUGGAAAACAUGCAAGUGGGAUGAUUUUACAUGCGAAACUGAAAGAGUGUACAACACACAAGUGUGAAAAACAUAGAAGUGAGAAACAUAUAAACUGGAUUCUACUGUGUUUUCAAUUAUUUAUAAAUUACUUGCAAAAACAUUAUGGCAAAAACUGGAGAGAGUUUAUAGAUUUACAUUUUUGCAAAGAUAUUAUUAGUGACAAACAGGCAAUAAUCAAAAUGAAGAAAAAGAUGAAAAUACUGAUCUAUGUGGGUUG
rnacentral:lncRNA from 1 species